UUUAUUGACAAAUGCACAGGACUUCCCCAACAGUUGAUUACAUUGAAAUUUUUCAUCUUCUUACUAUUAUUGUGUGUAAGUAUACAAUAUAUGUAUAACUGAGGGAUUACACACAUAUCUUUUGGGAGUCCAUUCUCUCCUUCCCCCGUGGAGUCCUAGGACUGAACUCAGGUCCUCAGGCUUGUACAGCAAGUGACCUUACCCACUGAGCCAUCCCUCCAGCCCACUCUCCAAAUUUUAAGAGCACAUGUCAUUUGAUAGAUUUUAGUGUACACGGAUUGUACAAUAUUACCACGGUCUACCUCCAGAAUGUUUCACUGUCCUAAAAAGAAAUCCAUGCCCAGCCAUUGAAAAAUUGGGUAUGCCGCUGACUUUUGACGUUAUUGCUGUUGCCAAGUAACCUUUCCAUAUGAAUUCUGUAAGUUAGCUACCCUGAUCCUGACUGAACCAAGAGAAGGGUGACUUCCUCAGAUUGCUGAAUCAUCAAGUCUUGUGUCUUUUCCAAAGGCUUGCAUAUUGGCUUAUACUUUGAAGGCCCCAGAACUUCAUAACUUUUUGUGUGAGUUCCCUGUGCGCCAGAGGUGAGGCAUUUACCGUGGAAUCUCUCAGAGCACACCCAAGUCUGCAUAUGGGCAUGGACUCCUAGAUCACCUGCCACGUGCUGAAGCUUCUCAGAACGCCACGAGAACAUCUCCCCGAGAACUUCUUUUUAAAUGGUCUUGUUCCCAGCAGCUAUUGCUGUAUCAGACAGCUACAACGUGAAAACAUUUCUAUUGUUUCUGACCCCAAAAGUUGAAUGAGGCCAAAUAACAUCUUAUGAGAUGGACUUUUCCAGGGAGGCAUGACAGGGACAAUUCUAUGGAAUGAACAUUUUGAGGAGCUUUCAACACACGUUGCCUCUCCAGCACAUUUACUUCAAUUGGGACAUCAGAGAAGGAAGAACGUCACAGCUGUUGGGGAGGAAGGUAGAAAACCUGAAGAUGGAGUUUUCUACCAGGACUUUCAUGGUUGAUGAAUGAGAUCCUGGUUCCUGGAGGAUAACAAUCUCAACUCUGAGGAAUGGUCCAUCUGAAGAUCAGCACGGAACAAGCAAUUCAUAUCCCCAGAAGACCUACCCUCACCGUUUUGGAGGACACUGCCCAAUCUGUUGAGAGCUCUGGAAGAAUGAAAACAGGCAAUGAGGGCAAUGCUGUGCCCAUCAGCCCAGAAGAAAUUGGAUUUCCUCUGAAAACUCUGAUGAAUUGCUUCCAGGGAGACUGGUUUUCUACAGAGACUGCCAUCCCACCCUGGGAGAAACAAGACAAAGACGCCAAGAUCUCUAGCCCCACAUCUUCCAGUGCGAGGAGCGACGAGGGCACACCACUAAGUACUUAAUGUUUCACUAUCCUCUGCGCCUUGAUGACCUUUAUAAAUCCCAGAAUGACACUCUGAAGGCAAAGGGGAGACUAACGGAGCUCUCAACAGUCUCCGAUGAACAGUGCGCCAGAAUUACAAAGCUGAGUUAUUAAACAAAAUUGACAGAAAGCUACCUUACCCAGUAGCGAAGACUAACAAAUGGGCAGAAGAAGUCCAUGGAGUGGGAAGGUGCUACAAGAUACCCUAAAGAGAAAGUGGGAAAUGCCCCAAACUAUGCAAUUAAAUGAGCUUCCGUGACGGACUGAAAUGAAAUCAUGUAGCCAACAGUAAUAAGUAAUUGAUGGUGUGAUCUCUUGAUUCUAUGUGAACUGCUACCAUCCCCACCUGUUGUGAGAAAGAUGGAUCUGAGGGAGUUUUUAACUAGAGAUGAUGCAGGCACACCUGACUUCGAAGAGACUCAUAAGGGCCAACUACCUGCCUAAGGUCAUCUGGUCACCAGCACUGAGACUGAAUUCUCUUUUUCAAGACGGAAUUUUGAUUACAUAACAACAUGCUGGCCCGACUCCACAGAGUCAUCCAUUUAAACUACUGAGCUGGACUAUAAGAAAACAGUUUACAACAGAACCAAGCUUAAGGAGAUAACAACUGCUUACUUAUCAGGAGAACCUGGGUCACCUCUUGUGGCAGCCCUGUGGGAAGUUGUAAGGCACUAUGGGCAUGCACACACCUAUCAGUGUGGGUGUGGUGCUGCUGUUAUCCCAGUGGAGGACAGGACUGCCUGAAAUCUCAGAGGUCACAGAUUUAAAACAUUAAAAAUGUUAUGCCUGCGUUUUCGUCUGCAUGCAUGUGUGCACUAUGUGCAUGCCAGUGCCUGCAGAGGCUAAAACAGGGCACAGAGCUCCCCGGACUGAAAUGAGCUGUUUGAUGUUACUGGGACCUGAACUCACGUCCCUGAAAGAGCAGUAUGUGCUCUUAGCUGCUGAGCCAUCUCUCCAGUACCGAGGAUACAGAUUUUUCAAGAAAAUAUUUGCGGAUCCUUAAAAGGAAAAGAAGUCAUUCAAAAGAUAACAAAACACCUUGGAUGCCUGAGCUAGUUUUUCUCAAAUACAACCAAAGGUGGUGGGUAGGUCAGAGCUGAAAGUGUCUCAUUCCUGUGCACGUGAGGCCUCCACAGUCAGAGUCUCAGUCUGCGGUGCUUGGAGAGAGUAUACAGAGCCUCACCAGGUCUGGUAGGGUCCAUGGCAGGGUGCAUGCAGCCUCCCUGUGAUCUCACUGUGACCUCCAUGUCAGGGAGAAAACUCCAGGGGAAGAAGGCGGAGACAAGGGCUCCUGGAGCAAAUGCUAACCACCUUCCUUUGAACUUCUUUUGCAUUGUGCUCCAUCUAGUAGCAGGAAGAGUUAUUUGAAAUUAUCCAUGGGUCAGAAAUAGCAUUAGAAUUGGACCUACUCUGCCUAGACUUCAAGUUGCUGACUACAGGAUGGGCUCAGGCUCCAUCAUGAGCAGACCAGUGCUCCACACCAUCAUUGCAAGAAGUCAUGGUGGGGAAUGUGGGGGAAAAGGAGGCAGCAACAGAGAAACCCCUGCCUGUCCCUUUCAGAGAUUCUGCUCUGGCCUGCUUUCUGUUUCCUGGCUCCACACCUCCUUCUCAACAAAGACUCUACAUUCCCAGCCACAGGAGGUGAUGCUGGGUGACACUGCAUGUUUCCUGGGAGUCAGCAGGAGAUCUUGAAUGCCUUGAAUGUCUGAGUGUAUUUUCAUUUCAAUCUGGGAGUCUGGUUUACUGGUAUUCAUUUCUAAUGUUUUCAGAGAGGAACGUUUCAAAUGUGGUGAAACAAACAUUAGUUUGUGACCCAAAUGUUUCCGCAGAACAUUUCUUGGGCUGGGGUUGUGUGAAUAUUUGUAACCAGUUGGGCAUGAAAACUGUGGGGAAUGUAUUGGGAAGAGUCGCAGGAGGGGAGACACUCCCAGCAAGUGCAGCCAGCAUGGCCUUCGGAUGUCUGCUGUUCCUUCACAUCCCAUGUGGCAGUGCACACACAGUUGUCAUUCCUGAUGUGUCUCUUCCAGUCCUUCUCCCACUACUACUAACUGACGACUGUGAUCUCACUGCUCAAUCCCAGUGUGCCUCAGUUUCCAUGUCUGGAGACAUAAAUGGAUUAGGCUACAAGAGAUGGCAUCUGAAACUACUGUAAUUCACAGGAGGGCAGGAGAAGGAAAAGGGGGCAGCAUUAUUAAUAUUAUUUCCAUUUUCCAGGAAAUGUAAUUUAUGCAGAGAAAGAUGAAGAGAUGAGGCCCUGGGUCACACAGCUCAUCAGCUCGAGGCUGGGCUUAAAUGUGCAUCUCCUGAGCCUGAAGCCUGUAACCUUCCAUUAUACCAAGCUAGCUCACAGCAAUUUAUCUGCUUCCCCAGACUCCCCUGGGUCCUCUGCACUAAACGACAGUGUGCUGGGUUGCAGAUGGCCCCAUUUGUUAUUUGUUCUUUUACUUUAUUUUUCUAGUAUGCACUGUGUCACUCAUUUGAUUCAUACACACACACACACACACACACACACACACACACAGGGUGAGAGAGAAAG